UACGAAGGGGGCUAGCGUUACUCGGAAUCACUGGGCGUAAAGCGCACGUAGGCGGACUCUUAAGUCAGGGGUGAAAUCCUGGAGCUCAACUCCAGAACUGCCUUUGAUACUGGCGAUCUUGAGUUCGGGAGAGGUGAGUGGAACUGCGAGUGUAGAGGUGAAAUUCGUAGAUAUUCGCAAGAACACCAGUGGCGAAGGCGGCUCACUGGCCCGAUACUGACGCUGAGGUGCGAAAGCGUGGGGAGCAAACAGG
rnacentral:rRNA from 1 species